GCCAGAGGAGGCAAGCGUUGUUCGGAAUCAUUGGGCUUAGAGCGCGCGUAGGCGGCCUUGUAAGUGUCUUGUGAAAUCCCACGGCUCACCCGUGGAACUGCAGGGCAAACUGCAAGACUUGAGGUCGGUAGAGGCGCCUGGAACUCUAGGUGGAGCGGUGAAAUGCGUAGAUAUCUAGGGGAACGCCGGAGGCGAAAGCGGGGCGCUGGGCCGAUUCUGACGCUAAUGCGCGAAAGCGUGGGGAGCAAACAGG
rnacentral:rRNA from 1 species